rnacentral:rRNA from 1 species
UACGUAGGGGGCUAGCGUUGUCCGGAUUUAUUGGGCGUAAAGAGCGUGUAGGCGGCCAGGUAGGUCUGGUGUGAAAACUCGAGGCUUAACCUCGAGAUGUCAUCGGAAACCAUUUGGCCAGAGUCCGGAAGAGGAGAGUGGAAUUCCUGGUGUAGCGGUGAAAUGCGCAGAUAUCAGGAAGAACACCAAUGGCGAAAGCAGCUCUCUGGGACGGUACUGACGCUGAGACGCGAAAGCGUGGGGAGCGAACAGG